rnacentral:rRNA from 1 species
AGCGAACGCUGGCGGCAGGCCUAACACAUGCAAGUCGAACGAAGUCUUCGGACUUAGUGGCGGACGGGUGAGUAACACGUGGGAACGUGCCUUUAGGUGCGGAAUAACACAGGGAAACUCGUGCUAAUACCGAAUGUGCCCUUCGGGGGAAAGAUUUAUCGCCUUUAGAGCGGCCCGCGUCUGAUAGCUAGUUGGUGAGGUAAAGGCUCACCAAGGCGACGAUCAGUAGCUGGUCUGAGAGGAUGAUCAGCCACAUUGGGACUGAGACACGGCCCAAACUCCUACGGGAGGCAGCAGUGGGGAAUCUUGCGCAAUGGGCGAAAGCCUGACGCAGCCAUGCCGCGUGAAUGAUGAAGGUCUUAGGACUGUAAAAUUCUUUCACCGGGGACGAUAAUGACGGUACCCGGAGAAGAAGCCCCGGCUAACUUCGUGCCAGCCGCCGCCGUAACAC